AAAAAGGUAAGCUAAGUAAGCUAAUGGGUUCAUACCCCAAUUCUGGAGGUACAAAUCCUCUCCUUUUUA
rnacentral:tRNA from 1 species